UGGGGAAUAUUGGACAAUGCGGGCAACCGUGAUCCAGCAAUGCCGCGUGAGUGAAGAAGGCCUUAGGGUUGUAAAGCUCUUUUACCCGGGAUGAUAAUGACAGUACCGGGAGAAUAAGCCCCGGCUAACUCCGUGCCAGCAGCCGCGGUAAUACGGAGGAUGCAAGCGUUAUCCGGAAUAAUUGGGCGUAAAGCGUUCGUAGGUGGUUUUGUAAGUCUGCUGUUAAAGCGUGUAGCUCAACUACAUAUAGGCGGUGGAAACUACAAAACUUGAGUGCGUUCGGGGCAGAGGGAAUUCCUGGUGUAGCGGUGAAAUGCGUAGAUAUCAGGAAGAACACCGGUGGCGAAGGCGCUCUGCUAGGCCGCAACUGACACUGAGGGACGAAAGCUAGGGGAGCGAAUGGGAUUAGAUACCCCCGUAGUCC
rnacentral:rRNA from 1 species